GCCUAAUUACACACACACCUGAAUUUAAUUAGCUUGGAAGUUGGGCGGUGGCUGUUUUAGCUUCGGACAGAUUUGUUUUAGGGUCUGGAGCAGCAAGAGCUGACAGGCAGGGACCUCGAACCCAACUGGACAGGAACCUACAGGAUGUUACUUGGCUGUAGACCUGACCCAAUUGUUGACCAGCCCCCCCCCCUGACAGCUACAUGAGUCAUUUGGGACGGAGACUUGAUAAGAUAGUCAAGGUCUGUCAGAUGGACCAUCGAAUGGUGAAUCAGUUAAGAGUUUGGCAGACUUAAGGGGCCAUCUGCCUGGCUCAAACCCAGCCUGUGAUGAAUGGAGAACUGCACUUACCAUCCUCAUAGAGAAGUUCACUUGGGUUUUUUUUUUUUUUUUAUGGGAAAGUUUACAAGUGGUGCUAAUAAAUAAAUCCUCAAGUACACUUAAACUGACAGGGCUGGGGAUAUAAAUGUCUGAUCGGUAUUGGACCAGGGUAGUGGGAGAGAGUAACUGGCAAGGAGGGUACAUUUCUAGGUCUGGGCUCUGUCCCAAAUGGUACUUGUUUUUUAACCCGGGUCCAUGGGGGGAAUAGGGUGCCAUUUGGGACUCAACCCCUGAUCCAGUCAAGGUGUGAGAACACCUUACUGUUCUGUACAGGCAAGGAGAAGACAGUGACAAAUCAACAGUUAGUAUUUCUAAACCUGCAGUCUUGGUCUGUGAAUUUUUUGUUGUUGUUGAAUAUUCCAACAGCUUGUCAUUCUCAAACGUUUUACUUGGUUGCAUGCAUGGGUUGGAACUGGUUCAGGGAACAGAACUGAAAAAUUACUGCAUUAUUUGAGGAAUAGAACCCAAACCAGAAACGAAAGUGAUCUAUACUGUUUCCCGGAAAGUAACCAUUAUUUUAAAUGCAUGGGAACCAUUUAAUAAUGUUAUUUUUAUGUCCCAGGCAUUUUUUUUUCCAAGUCCCACAAAAAUUGCAACAAAGUGCCAAUGCAAAGCCUUCACUUUGUCACUCAGAAAUGUACAUUUAAGUCAUUUAGCAACUGCCAGCUGGAAAUCUUUGUUUGUGUGUGUAGGCUACCUGCUCCUCCCCUCUGAUGCAGGUUACUGUAGCCAACUGAUGACUUUAGAAGCAUGAUUCAGAAAUUAGCGGGAGGUGUUUAAAAUGGUUCACUUCUUUGUUGUUGAGCUAAAUGUAAAACUUUUUUGAUUUAAGUUUAGAAAGGAACAAUAUAAACCUGUACUUUUUGUGGGGUUUGAACUGUUUCAGAACUUUAUUUUUCUGUUGGGAACAACGGAACAGAAC
rnacentral:lncRNA from 1 species